GCCCUGUCUCCAUGUUUUGUUCACAGCUUCUGGGUAGAGAGGGCAGGGGCACCUGUACCCAGUUGUCUGUCUAUGAAGAGUGAUCAUUCAAUGAUUCUACCACUCAACUUCAGAGGAGAGAUCUCUGGUGAUCAAAGGGUCCGGGUAGAGAGGUCAGGGGCACCUGUACCCAGUUGUCUGUCUAUGAAGAGUGAUCAUUCAAUGAUUCUACCACUCAACUUCAGAGGAGAGAUCUCUGGUGAUCAAAGGUAUAAGUGACCCUGGAUCCAUUCCCUGCAGUAUCAGAGUUAAACUGCCUCUCUCUCCACCCCUCACUCUGCCCCUACUGUAUAUUCCAGCUGUUAACACAGCCCAUACAGGAGCGACUUCAUAUUUCACAGGGGUUCAUCAACCAGGAGUAAAUUUCAACCACAUUUUGUAGUUGUGUUUAACACCACUGUGUCUACACGAGACAGACAGUGCAGCUGUUUUAAAGUGAUCAUUCUGAAAAACAGAUUGUUCCACA